rnacentral:rRNA from 1 species
AUCUCUGUAGAGUCUGCAUAUCAAUAAGCGGAGGAAAAGAAACUAACUAGGAUUCCCUCAGUAACGGCGAGUGAAGCGGGAAGAGCUCAAAUUUGAAAUCUUCAAGGUUUUACCUUGACGAAUUGUAGUUUAAAGAAGUGUUUUCUGUUGGAAUUUUGGUAAAAGUUCUUUGGAAAAAGACAUCAAAGAGGGUGAGAAUCCCGUAUUUGACCAUUAUUUCCAGCUUUGUGAUACACUUUCAAAGAGUCGGAUUGUUUGGGAAUGCAGUCCAAAAUGGGUGGUAAAUUUCAUCUAAAGCUAAAUACUGGCGAGAGACCGAUAGCGAACAAGUACCGUGAGGGAAAGAUGAAAAGAACUUUGAAAAGAGAGUUAAACAGUACGUGAAAUUGUCAAAAGGGAAGCGUUUGACACCAGUGUUGUUUUCUCGAAAAUCAAUUAAAAAAUGGUGGGAUUUUGUGUUGUAUUGACUUUAUCAGCUUUCUGCACUCUUUUUCCUUAUCUUUUUUAAUGCACUUUUCGUUUAACAAGUCAACAUCAAUUUCUUUUGUUGUAAAAGGGUCAUUGGAAGGUGGCUUUCUUUUCGGAGAAAGUGUUUAUAGCCUUUGCCUUCUGCAAUCGGAGAGAUUGAGGUCUGCAGCAUAGAUCCUUCGGGGUUAGAUACAUUUGUGCUAAGCUUAUAGCCUUUCAUAGACAACUUGUUGACUAUGAUUCAGUCAUUGUAGCUUACUCGCUUAUGCUAUUUUACCUACGCUUAGGAUGUUGAGUAGCGACAUACGCAC